rnacentral:tRNA from 2 species
UAAGGUGUAGCCAAGUGGUAAGGCAGCGGAUUUUGGCUCCGCCAUACGGGGGUUCGAAUCCUCCCACCCCAA